GAUGCAACUCCACACUUACCCACUGAUGACUGAACCUUUUAGCAUGGAUUGGUGAAGGGCAGCGGAAAAGAAAUGGGGAGAAUUUUUUUCUCAAUAGGCAUGUUUACUAAACAGGACAUUUUACCCAGUAUUUUGUUUUAGUGUGGGGGGGAAUCCUAAUUGUAUUUAGACUUUAUAUGGCAUGGGUUACUCAGUUCACAGCAGAAGCACCUGCAGCAAAUUAAUUUGUUGUAGCACAUUAAUUAUCUCAUAGCUUCUAUUUAGGCCGCAGCUGUUGCUAUUAUGUUAAUAAUAUUUUUAUUACCACUGUAUACAACAGGUUAUGUCCAUAAUAGAAAUAUCUCUUUCUCUCUCUCUUUUUUUGGCAUCUCCCCCCCUUGUUGUUUUCAUUUUUCUAUGUCAGGAGGGGAGACUGAAAGAAAUUUAGGCAAAUUAAGCCCCAAAGCGCACUAUAAUUUUCUAUUUCUGAACUGAUUUGUAAGAGAAUGGAUAAGUGAAAUUAGCAAAGAAUCACCCCACACAAAGAUGGCGCGUGCAGAAUUUGUGAAAGCGAAAAAGAAGACGAAGGAGAAGCAAAGAGGGACGGAACACGGCAGUGCCAGGGUGCAGCUGGAGUCCAGAAAUGAUUUUUUUUCGGUGAAUUUAGGAUUUUGCCGCAGUAUACAUCUGCAGUCCCAGAAUCCUCCGGUAAUUCAAAAGCAUCUGUUUUAGGGAAGGGAUACCUUACAUUCAGGUUCGGUCUUCUACUGCAUGAUAUGCCAGUGGCCUGAUAGCAU